rnacentral:lncRNA from 1 species
CUCUGAACUUUGGAGGGAUCCCAGCAUUCAAACCAUAGCAGGCGCCUCUGGGAUUACUGUGGACCGAGUUCUUCUCAGGUGUGCCUGAGGCGGCUGUGUCUCCUACUCUGCGAACCAUCUGGUUGUGCUGUCUAAGGAGGCCCCUGAGAAGGCCCACCUUCACCGCUUGUGUUUUCAUUUUCUCCUCUACACCAGGAGAAGUCUGCUGAGCCAUGGUCUGGAAGAUGUCAACCACAGAGGACUCCUGGGCUGUUCUAGGGAGUUGGGCUGUUGUCCUGAGGGCAAUGGAGAGCCACUGACCCAUUUGACGGAAGAGAAUGACCAGAGCAGAUUUGCACCUGUGGAAGAUCUCCCUGGCACAGUGGGGAGCACGGGCUAGAGGGGACAAGGCCAGGGGAUAAACCAGGAGUUGGCAUGAAGGUAAUAAAUUGAGAGAUGGCACUGGGCUGGAUCAGAGUAGCAGUGGCAGGGCUGGAGAAACGUGGAGAGACCAGAGAGAGACUUAGUACCUGGAAGUGACAGCAGUGGUGGUUGUGGACUGAAUGCAGGGGGUGAGUUGAGGAAGGGCUCAGGGGCGACUGCCAGGUCCUGGCUCAGAGAAGCCCCGCAGGACACAGGAAGGAGGGAGUCUUGGGCGGGUGUUGUGGUGGAGAGAUGGCUCUGGGUGGGAACAUCCUGUCUGAGGCUCCUGGUCAAGGGGAGAUGUCCAGAGGCAGCUAGGCCUGGGGCUUCGGGGAGAGAACUGAUUUAGAAUCCAGCAGCCUGCAGAUGUGAACUUCAGCCUGGGGUGUGAG